rnacentral:rRNA from 1 species
AACGCGAAGAACCUUACCAGGUCUUGACAUCCCGCUGACCGGUCUGGAGACAGAUCCUUCCCUUCGGGGACAGCGGUGACAGGUGGUGCAUGGUUGUCGUCAGCUCGUGUCGUGAGAUGUUGGGUUAAGUCCCGCAACGAGCGCAACCCUUGAUCUUAGUUGCCAGCAUUCAGUUGGGCACUCUAAGGUGACUGCCGGUGACAAACCGGAGGAAGGUGGGGAUGACGUCAAAUCAUCAUGCCCCUUAUGACCUGGGCUACACACGUGCUACAAUGGAUGGUACAGAGGGCAGCGAGACCGCGAGGUUCAGCGAAUCCCUUAAAACCAUUCUCAGUUCGGAUUGCAGGCUGCAACUCGCCUGCAUGAAGCCGGAAUCGCUAGUAAUCGCGGAUCAGCAUGCCGCGGUGAAUACGUUCCCGGGCCUUGUACACACCGCACUACUA